rnacentral:rRNA from 1 species
GACGAACGCUGGCGGCGUGCCUAAUACAUGCAAGUAGAACGCUGAAGGAGGAGCUUGCUUCUCUGGAUGAGUUGCGAACGGGUGAGUAACGCGUAGGUAACCUGCCUGGUAGCGGGGGAUAACUAUUGGAAACGAUAGCUAAUACCGCAUAAUAGUAGAUGUUGCAUGACAUUUGCUUAAAAGGUGCAAUUGCAUCACUACCAGAUGGACCUGCGUUGUAUUAGCUAGUUGGUGAGGUAACGGCUCACCAAGGCGACGAUACAUAGCCGACCUGAGAGGGUGAUCGGCCACACUGGGACUGAGACACGGCCCAGACUCCUACGGGAGGCAGCAGUAGGGAAUCUUCGGCAAUGGACGGAAGUCUGACCGAGCAACGCCGCGGGAGGGAAGAAGGUUGUCGGAUCGUAAAGCUCGGUUGUAAGAGAAGAACGAGUGUGAGAGUGGAAAGUUCACACUGUGACGGUAUCUUACCAGAAAGGGACGGCUAACUACGUG